rnacentral:rRNA from 1 species
UACGUAGGGUGCGAGCGUUAAUCGGAAUUACUGGGCGUAAAGCGUGCGCAGGCGGUUUUGUAAGUCUGACGUGAAAUCCCCGGGCUCAACCUGGGAAUUGCGUUGGAGACUGCAAGGCUAGAAUCUGGCAGAGGGGGGUAGAAUUCCACGUGUAGCAGUGAAAUGCGUAGAGAUGUGGAGGAACACCGAUGGCGAAGGCAGCCCCCUGGGUCAAGAUUGACGCUCAUGCACGAAAGCGUGGGGAGCAAACAGG